rnacentral:lncRNA from 1 species
AAAGAUACAUUAACUCUCAACAAUCCAAAUAUUUAGUUAGUGGAUAUACAAAAUUAAUAAUUUGCAUUGGACAAAAUUUAGAACUAUUGAGAUGCUCAUAGCGUAUAAAUUUAUAAUACAAUUUUGUCACAUUAAUCUGAAACAAUACAAACAUAGUAUAAAGAGAGUAAACGGAGGUGCUUUAUUAUAUCUCAAAUCCUCUUCAUUCAAACCAUAUUAAACGGAUAACCUAGAGCCGUUAUUGUUGGUGUUAUUAUCAUUAGUAUUGUAUUUAUCUUCGUUUUGGAUCGGAGGACACAUUGUUGCUGCUGCUUUCAUUUCUUUGUUCUUACCCCACAAGUACACGUAGAGACCCGUUACUACCACCACGGAUCCAAUUAUACUGUAAUCGAAGUAAGAAUUAUCGGAGAAACAUGUAAUUUGGUUUUGUCACGUCUUGUUCGUGUCAUCUACUGCACAUUUUGUACAUUACACUGAAACAUUUCUCUUAUCGGCAUACAGAUUCAACAUUAUAUUUUAGGAAAAAAACGUAGGUCGCGACCUGUAAUUGGCUUGGAUUUAGCGAUGUGGGAAAUAAACGAAUCUCUACAAUAGUAUAUUAAGGCAGAGAAUGAGUUUUACGCAGAUUUUAAUGCAAAAAAUGAAAUACAAAUUAUACAUUGUAAAUCCACAGACUAUAUUCUAAAUUUUAAACCUACAAACUAUAAUGUUCAAAGAGAACAAAAUAUGUCAUAUCUGGAUAUUGGUCAUGGAUUUUUUUUUUCUCCUGUGUUCACCUCACCGGUCAUGGAUUUAUAGUCACCGAUCUAUAGACCUUUUAACUCCUUUAUGUUGUUAAAUAAAUAUACUUUAACUUUCUCUCGCGUCUUUUACUUAUUUGUGUUUCAAUUUGUUUUAGGUCUAAACAAUUAUUCGUUUCAAUUUAGCAUCAUCGUUAAUUAGGUGACUCACCCUUGUGUCUUCGGAGGUUGCCCCCGUCAAGUUUCUUUGUAGUUCUGUGUUUCGAUCUUUUAGAGAUUCUUCAUCGGGUUGGAAUGUUGGAAGCUGUAAGAACCAUUAUUUUUAAGUUUAAAGACGCCUAUUUACUAAUAGGUUGUGGUACCAGACUCUCUUUUUUUUUAAAUAUACUGCUUUAUAGAUCUCGAUGUUCAGUUUGUUUUUGAGUCUAGGUCUUUCUAUGCUUUUGGUUUCAGAUUUUUGCCACCAUAAAUUUUGUUGUUUAGCUUCAAUUUCUUCAUUCCGUUACUUGUUUUCACUAUAAUCUAAAUAACAAAUUCGAAAAUCUAAUAUUAAUCUUAACAUUUUACAAAAAAAGAAGAAGACUAUUUGAACUAUAUAGCGCACUUUGUCCAACAACUUCAAUAUCUUUCAUAAAAAUAAAGGGAAUAAUUAGUUAAAGUUGUUUCUAUUUAUAGUACUCCGACUUUUUCUGUUAAAAUGAGUCAGGAUAUGAUAUGUACUUAGUGUAUUACCAUAAUAAAUUUAUCAUUUAUGUAUCAUAUUAUAAGGUCGGGUGGAAAUUUAUCAUAUUGUGAAUCAGUUCUUGUUGCACAGUGCACACCGAGAAUUUUGAUGUACAUUAACAUAUAAUCUCUCCGCUUCAUAAAUAUUGUUAUUAGCUUUUAUUUUGUUUCAAGAAUGCUAAAAAGACUAGUAACUAUUUGUAUACCCUACACACAAAAUGAGAAUUUUAUGGUCACUAAUUUUUAAUAUUUAAUAAACACAAAUGUCAUAAACAUUUUUUUUUGUAACACGACUUUCAUUAAUGAUUAAACAUUCGGACUACAUUUUGAAGAAGAGAUGAUCCUAGCUCUACGAACAUUACAAUAAAGCGAUACAUCAUAAAAAAUAGAUGUAGAGAUUGUAAAAAAAAUAGAUGUAGAGCAACCUCUAAGAUAAAAUGACAGUGAAUUCAGAGUAAAACUCGAAUGCGUCAAAAUAAAAUUUAUGGCGAAGCCGGAAAGUUAGAACUUAAUCACUUUGGAAUGUGACGUUAAUAGCUGCCAAUCCACACCUUGGGAUAUUGUUGACACGAGACCCUAAAUUAUUACAUUUCUACCAUAUUUUUGAAACCUUUAUAUAAAAUAUGUUUACAAUUUUCAGAACAUUAAAGCAGAACAUAUUAAAAAAAAACUAUUUUGUUUGGCAACAACCAAUACUCUUUCACUUAUUUGAUAAGAAAAUAUCUUAAAGUAUCAUUACACGUCAAUUUGAUGAGUUUCAGUAUUAUUUGCAGCUUUCCACACUAUUUUCAAAAUGUAAAAUGCAUUUCGGUUAUAUAGAUAUUUACAGAAAUUAUUUUAUGUUUCUUUACAUGCCCAACACUUUUAUUUAAACGAGAAAUCUAAUUCAAAACCAGUUGAAAAAGAAAGGGCCGUUUACUCCAAAAUUUAAACAAAAUAGAAUUAUUACGCCUCUCCGAAUUAAGUCGGACGUAGUUCCUAACCUACGCAAGAACAAGUAAGCCAAUUAAGCAGUUUUUUGCUCAAACCAGGAUGAUGUGCCUACUAGAUUGCUAGAAUACAACAAAAUCCCUCUGUCCGAUUCAAUGGAUGGGGCAGGAUUAAGGAAAUAAAUAUCGGACGAAGAUGAUUGCCAGUAAAUUAAAUAUGUAUUUUCGUAAAAGUGUUUCCAAUGUAAAAUUUUUUUUUUUUUUUCUAAAAUGGAGUAAAAGUGAAAAUAGAAUAAAAUUGCUCCAAGUUUAUUCCAUUUUCUACUUCAUAAUGGAAUGAUGAACAAAUAAAAAAAUAAAUUACUCUAUUUAUAGAAUAAAUAUCAUUAUAGAGUGAGAUAUGAAGUUGGAUUGGAACAUUUCUUAUUGGAUAUUCACUUUUACUCAAUUUUACACGAGAAAAUGGAAUAAAGAUGAAAAUGCCUUAAGUCGUCCCAAAUGUUCAUCUACCUCGGUGGUCCAGUGGGCUUUUUCGCGGCUUACUUUAUGGACUUUCGUUUUAGUUCGAAUGUCUCAGCGACUCUAAACAAAACGUGCAAAGAAAAAAAUACACAAUGAUCGCUGAUGAUCAGUUGCCCAAAAAAUUAAAGCUGGGAAAGUUGUGGACUAAAAAAACUGUCAGUGCUUCAUUACAAGGGAUGAUGCAAUUUCUAUCUUAUUGAUAGAAAAGGUGGCCUACUAAAGAAUAAUGGAAUCAUGUGAUCCCAAUAAAAUUGAUAUAUUGUUCUCUUUUAGUGUAUAUUAUAGUAUAUGAUUGGAUUUGAGGGAAUAGUUGUGGAAAGUCACUCUUGACUCCAUCAGAUAUGAUUUGCUCUUCCAUAUUCCCACUAGUUCAUUUAUAUAAAAUAGAAUAUCAUACAAAUAUUAUUUUAAUUAAGAAUUAUAUUAUGGCCCCAACCAAAAAUUGUUUCCGAGUGAUGCGAAAAAGAAUCAAUACACAAUCAACUUAUACAAAGAAACAAUGUAAUUACCAUUAGACGUGCAUGUUUGAUAUAUAUGUUAAGUACCUCAUAUUUAAAUUAAUAUGUGGCCUGUAGUAAUACACAGAAAAGGAUCAAUAAACAUUAAUUGCUAAAUGAUUUUAAGCUAGAGAUUUAUGAAACUUAAUAUUAUAUAUAUAUAUAUAUAUAUAUAUAGAAUCAAAUAGCAAAGAUACAUUAACUCUCAACAAUCCAAAUAUUUAGUUAGUGGAUAUACAAAAUUAAUAAUUUGCAUUGGACAAAAUUUAGAACUAUUGAGAUGCUCAUAGCGUAUAAAUUUAUAAUACAAUUUUGUCACAUUAAUCUGAAACAAUACAAACAUAGUAUAAAGAGAGUAAACGGAGGUGCUUUAUUAUAUCUCAAAUCCUCUUCAUUCAAACCAUAUUAAACGGAUAACCUAGAGCCGUUAUUGUUGGUGUUAUUAUCAUUAGUAUUGUAUUUAUCUUCGUUUUGGAUCGGAGGACACAUUGUUGCUGCUGCUUUCAUUUCUUU